GAUGAACGCUGGCGGCGUGCCUAAUACAUGCAAGUCGAGCGAACAGACGAGGAGCUUGCUCCUCUGACGUUAGCGGCGGACGGGUGAGUAACACGUGGAUAACCUACCUAUAAGACUGGGAUAACUUCGGGAAACCGGAGCUAAUACCGGAUAAUAUAUUGAACCGCAUGGUUCAAUAGUGAAAGACGGUUUUGCUGUCACUUAUAGAUGGAUCCGCGCCGCAUUAGCUAGUUGGUAAGGUAACGGCUUACCAAGGCGACGAUGCGUAGCCGACCUGAGAGGGUGAUCGGCCACACUGGAACUGAGACACGGUCCAGACUCCUACGGGAGGCAGCAGUAGGGAAUCUUCCGCAAUGGGCGAAAGCCUGACGGAGCAACGCCGCGUGAGCGAUGAAGGUCUUCGGAUCGUAAAACUCUGUUAUUAGGGAAGAACAAAUGUGUAAGUAACUAUGCACGUCUUGACGGUACCUAAUCAGAAAGCCACGGCUAACUACGUG
rnacentral:rRNA from 1 species